rnacentral:misc_RNA from 1 species
AAUGUGUUCGGCGGGGCAAAGAUAUUUCAGGCUAGUUCUUAUCCUGUUCAGUUGACCUCCUUUCUGAAGACCAGGGCAAGUCUCUUCGCCUUUAAAAACAAUUGGCACAUCUACCUUCAACUCCGAGCCUUCAUCAGCCCAUACAAAUACAAUAUUCAAAAUCUUCCCGGUCUCUUCAUCCCUAUGAAUUUUGACUGGAAGGAUGGAUCCUGAUUCAAGAAGGACUGAAGAUCCGGAACCAGCGCGGAUCUGGAGCUUGAACCUAGUGGAGCA